rnacentral:rRNA from 1 species
AGUGAACGCUGGCGGUAGGCCUAACACAUGCAAGUCGAACGGCAGCACAGUAAGAGCUUGCUCUUACGGGUGGCGAGUGGCGGACGGGUGAGGAAUACAUCGGAAUCUACUUUUUCGUGGGGGAUAACGUAGGGAAACUUACGCUAAUACCGCAUACGACCUACGGGUGAAAGCAGGGGAUCUUCGGACCUUGCGCGAUUGAAUGAGCCGAUGUCGGAUUAGCUAGUUGGCGGGGUAAAGGCCCACCAAGGCGACGAUCCGUAGCUGGUCUGAGAGGAUGAACGGACACACUGGAACUGAGACACGGUCAAGACUCCGAAGGGAGGCAGCAGUGGGGAAUAUGGGACAAUGGGCGCAAGCCUGAUCCAGCCAUACCGAGUGGGUGAAGAAGGCCUGCGGGUUGUAAAGCCAUUUUGUGGGGAAAGAAAAGCAGCAGGUUAAUACCCCGCUGUUCUGACGGUACCCAAAGAAUAAGCACCGGCUAACUUCGU